rnacentral:rRNA from 1 species
UACGUAGGGUGACCAGCGUUGUCCGGAUUUACUGGGCGUAAAGCGCGUGCAGGCCGGUCGAUUAAGUCCGGUGUGAAAGCCCGGGCUCACCCCGGAAGUGCGCUGGAAACUAAUCAACUAGAGUACGGGAGAGGGAAGCGGAAUUCCUGGUGUAGCGGUGAAAUGCGUAGAUAUCAGGAGGAACACCGGCGGCGAAGGCGGCUUCCUGGACCGGCAUUGACGCUGAGGCGCGAAAGCCAGGGGAGCAAACGGG